rnacentral:rRNA from 1 species
GACGAACGCUGGCGGCGUGCUUAACACAUGCAAGUCGAACGGAAAGGCCCUGCUUUUGUGGGGUGCUCGAGUGGCGAACGGGUGAGUAACACGUGAGUAACCUGCCCUUGACAUUGGGAUAACUUCAGGAAACUGGGGCUAAUACCGGAUAGGAGCUCCUGCUGCAUGGUGGGGGUUGGAAAGUUUCGGCGGUUGGGGAUGGACUCGCGGCUUAUCAGCUUGUUGGUGGGGUAGUGGCUUACCAAGGCUUUGACGGGUAGCCGGCCUGGGAGGGUGACCGGCCAACAUGGGACUGGGGUACGGCCCAGACUCCUACGGGGGGCAGGAGUGGGGAAUAUUGCACAAUGGGCGGAAGCCUGAUGCAGCAACGCCGCGUGCGGGAUGACGGCCCUCGGGUUGGAAACCGCUUUCGCCUGUGACGAAGCGGGAGUGACGGUAAUGGGUAAAGAAGCACCGGCUAACUACGUG